rnacentral:rRNA from 1 species
GAUCCUGGCUCAGGAUGAACGCUAGCGGCAGGCUUAACACAUGCAAGUCGAGGGGCAGCGCGAUGUAGCAAUACAUUGGCGGCGACCGGCGCACGGGUGCGUAACACGUAUGGAACUUACCCUUUACUGGGAGAUAGCCCGGAGAAAUCCGGAUUAAUAUCCCAUAAUAUACGAAGUGGCAUCACUUUGUUUUGAAAGCUCCGGCGGUAAAGGAUGGCCAUGCGCACGAUUAGCUAGUAGGUGAGGUAACGGCUCACCUAGGCUACGAUCGUUAGGGGGCCUGAGAGGGUUAUCCCCCACACUGGUACUGAGACACGGACCAGACUCCUACGGGAGGCAGCAGUGAGGAAUAUUGCGCAAUGGAGGCAACUCUGACGCAGCCAUGCCGCGUGCAGGAAGAAGGCGCUACGCGUCGUAAACUGCUUUUACCAGGGAAGAAACCCCCAGACGUGUCUGGGGUUGACGGUACCUGAGGAAUAAGCACCGGCUAACUUCGUG